rnacentral:tRNA from 1 species
CGGAACGUAGCUCAAUUGGAUAGAGCAGCCCCCUCCUAAGGGGCAGGUUGUGGGAUCAUGCCCCACCGUUCCGGCCA